rnacentral:lncRNA from 1 species
GCAUACUGCUGCAUUUCCCAGAACUUCACCCCUUUAAAUGGCCCUGAGAGCAGAGUUGGUGAUGAGGAUAGAGCAGAACAUCUGGCUCAGAGUCACCACUGGCAGCCCUUAGUGACCAGUGGAUUUUCACUUAUGGAAAUAGAUCCUCUUCAUUUCUGCCUGAGAAGACACAGUGAAUGGUAACAUGAUGACGUUUCACACAGACCAGGAACAGGGAACUUGAAAGUUUAGUCCGAUGUCACAAUGUCUGAGGAAAGAAAAAUAUGCCUUGAGGGUUCCACACCACUAAAUGUGGCCAUAAGGUAGUAUUGUGUCAACUUAACACAAGCUAUAGUCAUCAGAGGAAGGAGCCUCAGCUGAGAAAAUGCCUCCUGGAGACCCAGCUCUCCUGUCUCCUGGGUCCUGCCCUGUUUGAGUUCCUGUCCUGACUUCCUUCAGUGAUGAACAG